rnacentral:piRNA from 2 species
ACCACAAAGAGAUUCUUCAGUUGC